GUGGGGAAUAUUGCACAAUGGGGGAAACCCUGAUGCAGCGACGCCGCGUGAGCGAAGAAGUAUUUCGGUAUGUAAAGCUCUAUCAGGAGGGAAGAAAAUGACGGUACCUGACUAAGAAGCCCCGGCUAACUACGUGCCAGCAGCCGCGGUAAUACGUAGGGGGCAAGCGUUAUCCGGAUUUACUGGGUGUAAAGGGAGCGCAGGCGGUGCGGCAAGUCUGAUGUGAAAGCCCGGGGCUCAACCCCGGGACUGCAUUGGAAACUGUCGAACUAGAGUGUCGGAGGGGCAAGUGGAAUUCCUAGUGUAGCGGUGAAAUGCGUAGAUAUUAGGAGGAACACCAGUGGCGAAGGCGGCUUGCUGGACGACAACUGACGCUGAGGCUCGAAAGCGUGGGGAGCAAACAGGAUUAGAUACCCCUGUAGUCC
rnacentral:rRNA from 1 species